rnacentral:rRNA from 1 species
GACGAACGCUGGCGGCGCGCUUAACACAUGCAAGUCGAGCGAGAACCAGACCUUCGGGUCUGGGGACAGCGGCGAACGGGUGAGUAACACGUGGGUAAUCAACCCUCGGUACUGGGAUAGCCCGGGGAAACCCGGAUUAAUACCGGAUGGCCCUUCGGAUCUUCGGUUCUGAAGGAAAAGGUAGCUUCGGCCUCCGACCGAGGACGAGCCCGCGGCGGAUUAGCUUGUUGGUGGGGUAACGGCCUAUCAAGGCGACGAUCCGUAGCUGGUCUGAGAGGACGAUCAGCCACACUGGGACUGAGACACGGCCCAGACUCCUACGGGAGGCAGCAGUGGGGAAUCUUGCGCUAAUGCGGGAAACCGUGACGCAGCGACGCCGCGUGGGGGAAGAAGGCCUUCGGGUUGUAAACCUCUUUCAGGAGGGACGAAGCUACUCGGGUUAAUAGCCCAGAGGGUGACGGUACCUCCAGAAGAAGCCCCGGCUAACUACGUGCCAGCCGCCGCAGUAACAC